CAUACCCGCUUCCGCGCGCACACUCGACCUUUGAUGGACAGGCUCAGCAGAGAGAGCAGCGAGAACAGAGCCCAUCAAAGCGGCCAUGCUGCGCCGCAGCUCUGUCGUGCUGGCGAGGUUCCAGCCGUACUCGAUGGCGGUGCAAACCCGGUUUAAGUGGCGGCACAAGGAGACGGACCGAUGGCGGCGGCUGAUGGACGCGACGUGCUUCCAAGUCGACUGGCUCGGCCAGACGGCCGGCCCGAACUUCGCGCAGUACAGCGGGCACUGGACGCACGUCAUCACCUGCGCGCACGUGAUCACGCCGUGGGACUACCCCAACUACUACCCCCCGCAGGGGCCAACCCGAUUUGUCUCGCACAUUACUCUGGCGGACACCAUGACGCAGAUUCGGCUCGUCUCGAUGCAGGGCAAUGCCGUGUACAAGCAUUUCACGUCAAAUCAACACGUCUUCGUGCAUUCGAACCCGCGGCUGGACCUGUGCGUCCUGCAUCCGGAGCAAAAUCUGAAGCGCAGUGGCGAGAUGAAGAUGAUGUGGAUGCAGAACGAAGGGUACAUUUUACGUCCGCGGCUUGAGAUCAACGAAACGCUGAAGGUCGGCGAUCACGUCUGGGUGUACGGCAUGUCGGCGCAUGAGUCGCUGUUUGACGAGGAAAAGGGGCCAGAGCCUCUCAUGAUCCCUACCGGCGUCCGCGCUCGCGUGCACACCGUCACGCGCGAGCACUUCUUUCUGGACACAACGGCGCUUGAGGACAACCCAGAUCGUGGCCGCAUCCAGAUGGGCAUGUGCGGCUCUGUCGUGAUGCGCAACGGCAAAUGUGUGGGCAUGCUGACGGCGACGGUGCACGAAGAGAGCGACUGUAAAGAGCUCGCAGGGACGGCCAUGUGCACCUACUCGUCCGACAUCUUCGAGUUCCUGCUGGAGGUGGAGAAGCAAAUGAAGAACCCCGUCGCGCGUCAGAGCCAGGAGGAGACCCGCUUUGAGCAGCGGCGCCGCGCCGAGGGGGGCGUGACGAAGGAGUACAAGCACUGGGAGCUGGACGAGAGCCGCACGGCCCGCCACAUCCCUGUCCCUGUUUCGCUCUGGCAUAUGGAGGAGAGGUGGGUGACGGAGGAGGAUUACAUGAACAGCGCCGUCUUUGGCCGUAGCGGCGCCUUCAACCAAGAAACACAGGAGAGCGCGCUGGGCUACGACAUGAACACCGCCAAGACGAACGGCGACCGCCCAGGUGACAUCGACUCCUUCAUGUCAACCACGACGACCGGCAAGCCUGUAAUGCAAGGCGAGCGGAAGGACUACAGCCCGACCGGCGUGUACGCGAACGUGGAGGAGUUCAAGAACAAGGAUGUGUGGGACUACAACGUGAGCUCCGAGAUGCGCUCUCUGUUCAACGAAACAGUCGACAGCAAGGACGCUGAGAGCCUCAACAUGAUGCGCAAGUCGCUUGAGAACAUCCGUGCGCAGCGGGCGAUGGAGAAGAUGAAGGAGACCGUGAUGAACCGCACGGAGUCGGGCUUCGAUCCGCUGAAGAGCUGCGGCCACUACGGCGGCAGCGCCGACGCCGGGGCUGCCAACUUCAGCCCAGAGUACGCUUCAGCCCACAAAGGUGGUGGCGACGCCUACAGCUACGCGCAAGCAGCUCAGCAGGCGGCGCGUGAGCAGCCGGAGGACCGCGCAUCGCCUGCGUCGUCUCCGCCGCUGUCGCCGCCGCCGCCAAAUGAGUCCGUCAUAGAUCGCAAGAAGCGAGAGCGACGCGAGGCGGAGGCCAAGUAUCAGAAGGAGCUGCGCCGCCGUCAUGGGCAGCGCGCCGUUCCCUUCGGCGACGAGGAUCUCGGCGGCUUCUGGGAGCGGCACUGAGGGCUGGCGCUGCCGAACCCUGUACGCCGAACUCGGUGCGUUCUCGGGGAGUGAUGGCCUCCAAUUCGUAUAGGCGAAUGGGAAUGCAUGCGCAUAUCUGUGUGUCGCUGCUGCACGCGGUAUGCUCGACGUCCUUACAGUUUUUAUUUUUCUCUUCGCCUUCUACGGGUUUCCCAUUCACUUCUGGUGCCUGCGCUCACCCUUUCCCUCUUCGUUCUGCCCUCCUACUCCUCUCCCUCUCUGUCUCUCUGCCCUUCUGCGCGUGUCCGUGUCUGAGCAAGGUGGGGCGCAAGGGAGGAGAGGAGAGGAAUGCUGCGGCUCUGACGUUCGUGUGGACGAG
rnacentral:misc_RNA from 1 species